rnacentral:lncRNA from 1 species
UAAACUAAAGUAGUACCUGUUCACUUUCUUUCUUUUCACAUCCCCAAGCCUCAAUUGUUGAGCCGCGGCGGCGUUUCGCUCUCAUCACUUCUUUCUGCUUCCGAAUCAAAAUCCCUCUCUUUAGCUUCUCAAUCUUCAACAUCUUUUUCCGAAUCUUUAACUUCCCAAUCCGAUUCUAAUCUGUCGUUCGGAUUCUAUUUAUGUUUUUAGUAUCGAAAUUGGUAUGUUAUAGAUCUCAACUGGAUUUGAGUUUUGAUGUUAUCUACGUGAUAUUGUGCCUUGCAUACUAUGUUUUGGAUUAUCUGGACACUUGUAUAUAAUCGCUUUUGCAGGUAAUAAUAAAGAGAGACAUCCCAGUUAAUCUCUUAAUCUCUUGGCAAGCACACCGAAUAUGUAAGAACACAAAAGUUUCGGGUCAUUUCGGGUCGUGUCGGGUAACCCGAAAUAAAUCCGAGUCGUGUUCGAGUUAGGUACCUGUACCCAUAAAAUUUUCGGGCCAGGUUCGGGUUGGGUAAAAAAUACUACCCGAGAAUGUUGACCUGACACGAACCCGACCAACAACCCGUAAUUGCCAGCCCUAGACACCAAUAGCAUAUUCAAUUUGAGUCGAUGUAUGCAUCAAGUAAGUACUGUGAGAUCUUAAAUUGUUAUCUUCUUAGUAUUGUAUUUCAUUGUUCAAUGGAUUAGGUUUUCAUGUUAUUUUAUAUUGAUUUCAUAUAUUAAUGUCACAUCUUAAUUCUUGAUUCAUAUUUUUAUCAUUGUAUGUGAUCUAUAUAAUAAAUAUCGGCCGAAUUUUAGCAAUAUAUUCACAAUUACAUGAUAUGGAUCAAUCAGGUUACAUGGGCUCAACUAAUUUCAAAAAUUCACAGGUUGGACACCGUUUGCAUAGGCCAAUUUCACUAUCUUCGUCAAAACAUGGUUUGGUAACUGUUUUUCUCAUGUAAAUAUCAAUUGCUCAUUUUUAAACUUUGUUUAUAUGUGUGUAAAUUAUAUGUAUAUAUCAAUUGCUCUUUCUGUGUAUGUAUAUGAUGGAUGGUGAGUGGGUAAAGACGGCGAUGUCUGAUGAUGGGACUAUGACAGCUCAGCUUCUAGAGCAGAUGUCGCAAUCUCCGAUGGCCACUCCGCCACCUCCAACGAGAAAGACUUUCUCGUUUUAUCUCCGAGUGCAUAUGAUGGAUGGUGAAUGGGUUAAGGCGACGAUGUCUGAUGAUGAGACUAUGACGGCUUAGCUUUUGGUGCAGAUGUAGCAAUCACCGAGGGCAACUCCUCCGCCACAUCCAAUGACGGUUAUGCUAUUAAAAUGGAGCGUCCGUCAACCCCGUACUAGGUCUGUGGUUCAUAAGAGGGGCGGCGCACGUGGCAGUCCAACAACUCUUCUUUCGUGGACUGGUGGGUCCACCUCUUUUAGCGGCGUUGCUCAUCCCACUACUGUUAACGCCUUUGAAUAAUCCUACAACUCCUAUUUCGUGGAAUGGUGUGAUCGACAUUUUUCCGGUGGUGAAAACAAAGAUCACAUCAGUCCAUGAAAAAGGAGUUGUAUGACUGUUCAGAGGCGUCAACAGCUGCGGGAUGAGCACCGCCGCUAAGAAAGGUGGACCCACCGGUCCACGAGAGAGGAGUUGUUGGACUGCCACGUGCGCCGCCCCUCUUAUGAACCACAGAUCUAGUACGGGGUUGACGGACGCUCCAUUUUAAUAGCAUAACCGUCGCUGGAUGUGGCGGAGGAGUUGCCAUCGGUGAUUGCUACAUCUGCACCAAAAGUUGAGUCGUGAUUGUCCCAUUAUCAGAUAUCGCCGUCUUUACCCAUUCACCAUCCAUCAUAUACACUAGAGAGAGAAUGAGAAAGUCUCCGAUACUCCAGUGCUUUUGUGGAGUAUCGAUACUCAGAGAGAGAAUGAGAAAUCCUUGGUCUCAGUUUCAGGUUGAUGAGUGAUGGAUAUCAGUCUUCAUUUGUUGAGCCACCGUUCGCUGCCGACCGAAGGAUUAAUUCAUUUUCAGUGUUUGAAAGAUGCAUCAACUGUUAAAUAUCGUUAAAAUUUUAUACAUUUUAAUGCUUUCACCCAAUUGAAGCGUUGUUCCAAUAAAUUGCAAUUGCUUAACACUUUUCUUUUUUCCUUUUCGUAGAAUUCUCUCUUAACAUUCGGAUCGUAUUGCUUCGCGAGUUUUGUUAUAAUAAUCCUAAUAGUGUUCAUUGGUGAUGUGAUACGAUUGCUUGGUGUUUUUAAUAUCAUUUCUAUCACGACAAUCUAGUAACUCUCCAAUAUUCAUGAGGUGUAUUUUAUUAAGAUUUUAAUAUAUUAUGUAUGAUUUAUGGAUUUUAAUAAGCUAUAUCUGAUUUAAUUUUACGCA